UCGCGCUCACCUCCCGGCUGUGCCGCGCGCGAGGCGGAGCGAGGCGCCCGCCGCCGCCGCGGUGCUGAGGGGCGAGCCUGUCCCCCCCGCGCCGCCGCUGACAGGAGGACCGCAGCGGGCUGCCAGCGCUCGCCGGCCGCGAGGCCCCGCCGAGCCCGACUGAGGUGCGGAUCCUCCGUGGGGCGUCCGCGGGCGGCGCGGUCCUCACCGGAGACCACUGGCACGCGGGCUUGACCCCGAGGUGCGCCGCGCCCCUUAGAACGGCAGGUAAGGGCUGGGCGAGCAGGGAAGAAGGGUCGGUGAGGGUGAGGUGACAGGGGCGUUCGCUUGCGACGCCUCAGCUGCGGGGGCUGGGGCGAGCAGGGAGACUGGGAAACGGACAGUGAAGUGCCUCCGGUGUCGAAGGCGUGGGGAAGGCAGGCUGCCUCCGAAUGAAUGUGGGACCGAGGGCGGCUUCGGAGGGCUCCGGGGUCUACCACUUGGUUGUCACCGAGGUUGGUCUUGGUAUUUGGUACCUGGAGGGUCUUUGGAUGACGGGGACCGGGAUGAGAUGCGAGGCAGAUUGCUAAACGUGGCAAGGAAUGUGGUGCAGAACGAGUUGCAAAAUGUGUCCCUGAAUGCAGCAUAAAAGUAGUUGUGAAAUGUGCCAGGUAAAGGCACAGGAUGGGCUGGCCUCUGUGGCGUAGAAAUGCAUGGUAGAAGUGUUAUUAGGAACAUGAAUAAUUCCUUUGGGGAAGGAGGUGUACUAUAAUAAAAGACUAAUGGGGCUUUUGCUACAUAUUCUGUCGUAGGAGAUCGAGAGGAGCUGCGAUUUUUGACAUGGGGAAAGUACCCACGUG
rnacentral:lncRNA from 1 species